CCUGCGCAUGCGCCGAGCGGGCGGAGGGGGCCGGGGCAGCGCGGAGGUGGCCUGAAUAGACUUUAAGAUGACUCAUGUUCCUCUGUGCAGCCCUGUGAUAUGGCUUCCUCUCAGGACGUGCCUAUCAUUCUCCAGUCGCUAUAGGAGGUCCCUCAAGCAAAUGACGACUCCUCUGGAGGUGCGCUCCUCGAGUCGUCAGCUUGCCAGGACUCCACUGGAUUUAAACACAGAAAUGCAGAGACUGAGAAAUGAAAAUGAACUGUCAGCAGCUUUUGACUCCUAAGCGCUGAAUAUUGCUGUGAGCCCAGAAUAAUAAACUGUGUUUCAAGAUGUAGACCCUGCGGAUAAAAUAUACAUUCCAUAAACGGUUCUGACAAUAACAUUAUGGAUAAGCUGCAUGAGCUUCUUGAUCAAAUUUGGUGGCAGAACACAUGGCAUUGCUUGGAAAUUACAGAAAUAUUUUAGCGAGGAGGUAGGGGAAAGUGAUGGUUAUAUCAGAGUUUGCAGUUUCACUUGUUUUUUGAGGGACAAGAGAUUGCUUUAUAGAAAGAGUGUCUAGGAAGUAUGCCUGUAUAGGAAAGGCUCUUUGUCCUGUUCUCAUCACAUGUAUAAUUUUGUACAAUUUUUAGUUCUCUAAACAUUUCACUGGGAUACAUGUCAUUUCAGGUAUUCAUUAGUUUAAGCAUUCUUUUCUGAAAAUGAGAAUUUUAACCAUGCUUGGCUUUAGGCUUUGUGAAUUGCUUUAUUUAAAAAAAAAAAAAAAAAAUGUUAGCACCAAGCAACUUUUAAACUUUCAUUCCUAGAUUAAAAUAGCUAAAGGAUCUGAGGAUGAUUCAUAAAUGCAGAACUGCCUCGGCAAUAAAAUUCAGUGCAUAUAAAAUGUAUGUAACUGUAAAAUUUAACAUUUAGCCAUAAAAACUAAUGUCUCCAGACAGAGGAGAAGCUGACUUAUUAACCCUCUUAUUCAAUGCAGAGCUUUUUAAGAGGUUCGUGAAAUGCACAGAUUUUCUAUUCAUUUUAGUAAACGUAUAUAGGCUAUAUUGUAUUCUCCAGGAAUAAAAUCCACUAGAACCACUGUAUUCACUUCUCAGUUAUAUCUGAGGAAGGACAACAAGGACAAGGAGACAGUUUGGUACUCAGAGUAUGUACAUGCUCCCAUGCUUCUGGGAUUCUCUUGCAGAUCUCUGGGCUUUUGAGGAGGUCUAAGAAAGCUGCACCUUAUGACCUAGUAUUCGGAUUACAUGUCAGAAGAAAACUAAGUGAAACCAAGAAAACCAAUUAAAAAAAAACCUCCAGGCAGGUCAAGACAAGUUGGGGCAGAGCAAGGCAUGCAAGCUGCUGUUAUGAAACUCUGCGAACUCAGCGCACAUCCAGCAACGGCAGUGCUGGGCUGCAACAGACCCCUGGUUCGUAUCACCCAGAGCUGUGUGCUGGCCGGUUUUGCCUUGUCUGCCUUCCUCUCUGUAGGAGCAGCAAAUGGACACAGAGAAGCCAAAACAAUUCGUAUUCUGCAAGCAUUAUGCUUCUGCAUUGCCUCUCUAAAUUAAUGUGAAUUUUAUCUCAGCCUGGCAAUGGUAGGUUCAACUGCAGUUUUGAUGGGAGAAGCUAACAAGCAAUUUACUUAAGUGGGUAAGCAUUCAAGGCCCAAUUUGUUUCUGACUGAUGGCAACAGUAGUCUACCACUGGCUUCAAAGAAAGCUAGAUGAGUAUUACUCAGCGACAGUAAUAUUAUAUCUCCUCCUAUAUGCUCUAAUUAAAGUGCUAGAAACAUUGCACAGAUCUUUGUAAUUGCUUUACAGUGUAAUGCAGCUUUUGUCUUUGCAAAAGCUUUUGCCUUAAAAUGGAAUUGAAGUCAUAUCUGUGUAUCUUCCGUAAUAAAAAACUGGCUGUUGAUCCUUACUGCAUAUGAAAACCAAUAUAAAAAAGGAAAGCAGCGAAAAGGUGUUUCUUCAUGUAGGGAAAACUUUAAAAAAAUGUAAUCCAAAUGCUUGAAAACCUGGAAUGACAGGCUUUUUAGAAAUGCAGAUAUCAUGAUAAUAAAAAUGGUGAAGACUGGAUGGCAAAAUUAAUAUGAUAAAGAAAAUCUAAUAUUAUAGUCUGGAUGGUUGAACUCCAGUGUCUACAGUGAGAAUGGGACUGAUGUAAGAUCAAUUCUUAAGGUAAGAAUUUUCAUACGGCAGAGGAUGAUAGACUUCUGAAUUUUCAUUAGGGAAUUUGAAGUGGUGUUUUCAUCUUGGCCUCAGAUUUUAGUGCUAAGCUUUAAGAGGUGUUCGAGUUGGCACUAUAGACUGUAGUCUCACUGUAGUGUGACUGGUUACAUUCAGUAUUGUGGCAUUUGGGUGAGAUGGUAUUGCCCUUUGCUACCCAAAUAUGACAUGUUUUGUAGGCACGAAAAAUACUAGUUAGAUCAGACAUGUUUAGAACUAUUGUAUAUGUCCUUUGCUAAAUACAAUGGUGCUAAAAUACCUUCAAUACUUUUAUAUCUUCAAUAUUACAUUCACAUUAAUAAAGGGUGUUAUGUAAAGAAGGUUUACAUAUGUAAAAAUAUGAAAAAAUACAUGUGAUAUUUUUAAAAAACAUAUGAAAAAUUAUAUGUUCCAAGUAUGGGAGGAUAAUGAUCAUCACUUUCGUGCACAUUGUAAAUAGUUGCAUUUAAUGAUCAGUGAUUUUUGCUGUAAUCAACUUUAAAUAGACUCAAACAUUUCUUGAAACUGAUUUAAGUAGCCUGUAAAAUAAACAUGGAUUCAUCUUUUAUUUUCAUUGCUGACCUUGCCUUCUGCAUAAGUCAUAAUGCUGUGGUUUUCAGGAUGAUGGGUCAUAUACACACAGCAUCAAAGUAGACUAAAUGUAAUUAACAAGUGCUUGAGCUUUCAGAGUUCAAUAAGCACAUAUUUAUAACACUCCUUUUUUUUCACCCUCUUGGAUUAUCUGCCUGGCAGUUAAUCUUACCACUACUCCUCUUUCUUGUAAAAUGAGUCCUGUUUGUUCAAAAAGGAAUGGGGGAAAACCAGCGCAGUGUUGCUCCUGUGCUGGCUGUCAGAUGGCUGCUUGCUUGUCUCUGCCAGAGGGCCUCUCCUGAGCUGCUGAGCUGCAGGUGCUUCAAUCAUCCCAUCCCAUGAAGGAAUCUCCUUUCAUUCUUCCCCUCUUUCAUUUUACAGGGUCUCCUCAAUGCAACUGGAUGUUUUACAGCCCUGGCAGCUUUGCCUUUCAGGGGCUGUGACUGGUGACCUGAACAAAGUGACCCUCCUAUUUCUCAACAUUAAUAUUUUUUAAGAGCAGGAGCUCCCUGCAAACAAGGAUCUGAGCCACACAGUCCAUGCUGGCUAGCUAUCCCUGGAGGAAAGCUGGUUUCAAUCUGAACAACCUCGUGUUGAGACUUCAGCACUGUUUGGGUGUCCCAAGUCUGUCUGGCCUCUGCUGGCAGCCACCCCACCACAGCCGUGUCAGCACAGGCACCUAGCUGGGUCCUCUCUGACAUGACUUGCUUCCAGCCUGGCUCAAACCUGUCCCAAAUGACAGAAGUUAAAUGAACCGAAAUAUUCUCUGCAAGCACAGUUGUGCCCAGAUCAGGGCUUUUACUGGCAUUGCUAGGUGUGAUUUUUCCACGCUUGCAGCCAGCACAGCUAUGCUCGUAAAGCUUUGUAGUAGAGACCUGGACAGAAUCCUUCAAAUGCUUUCCUGCAGCCUUGGCUAAACAACCUUUUAACUUUGUUGGAGCCAGGACAACUCCACUCUUUCCAAUUAGCAGUCCAGACUUUGUUCUCUCAGUGAUCAAAAAGUUGCUCAUAUGGGAUUGGCUUAUCUCUCCAGUCACUGCUUCAUAUCCUGCUUGAAAUAUUACUCUGGCACAUCUCUCUGCACUACUGGAUGUUGACACCCAUCCUGUGCUUUUGAAAAUUCAAAUAAAAUUCUCUGCACACACCUCUUCUGGCAGCUUAGAAGCAUUGGUUGCCUGUGUCCACAGCACUUAUUUGUAUGUGUGUGCAGUGCUGAGGUUGCUGGCAGA